GUGAAUCAUCGAAUCUUUGAACGCACAUUGCGCUCUCUGGUAUUCCGGAGAGCAUGCCUGUUUCAGAAUCGGCAACAUUUCCUCUUGUUCACAUGGGCAAUCCACAAAGGAUUUGUCUUUGGGAGCAAGGACUUUGGAUGUUUUUCUGUAAACAAAAUCAUCUUGAAUGAAUUUGUGGGUGUGCGGAUGUCCCGAGGUUCCUUAACUGGAACUGGCCCCAAAGUGCAACAAAAAGCCAUGCUCUUUAACAACCACUUGGGCUUGAGGCAUCCAAACACGUGCAUGUUUUUCACAAAACCA
rnacentral:misc_RNA from 1 species